rnacentral:rRNA from 1 species
UACGGAGGGGGCUAGCGUUGUUCGGAAUUACUGGGCGUAAAGCGCACGUAGGCGGAUAGUUAAGUCGGGGGUGAAAUCCCGGGGCUCAACCCCGGAACUGCCUUCGAUACUGGCUGUCUGGAGGUCGAGAGAGGUGAGUGGAAUUCCGAGUGUAGAGGUGAAAUUCGUAGAUAUUCGGAGGAACACCAGUGGCGAAGGCGGCUCACUGGCUCGAUACUGACGCUGAGGUGCGAAAGCGUGGGGAGCAAAC